rnacentral:rRNA from 1 species
CCCGGUAAUGAUCCUUCCGCAGGUUCACCUACGAAGGAUCAUUA